rnacentral:rRNA from 1 species
GACGAACCGUGCAAACGUUAUUCGGAAUCACUGGGCUUAAAGGGCGCGUAGGCGGGCUGGCCAGUCAGGGGUGAAAGCCCACGGCUCAACCGUGGAAGUGCCUUUGAUACUGCCAGUCUGGAGGGAGGUAGGGGCGUGCGGAACUUCCGGUGGAGCGGUGAAAUGCGUAGAUAUCGGAAGGAACACCGGUGGCGAAAGCGGCGCGCUGGACCUCUUCUGACGCUGAGGCGCGAAAGCCAGGGGAGCAAACGGG